GAGCCAUUAGCUCAGCUGGGAGAGCAUCUGACUUUUAAGCAAAGGGUCGCAGGUUCGGCCCCUGCAUGACUCA
rnacentral:tRNA from 1 species